rnacentral:rRNA from 1 species
UACAGAGGGUGCAAGCGUUAUCCGGAUUCACUGGGUUUAAAGGGUGCGUAGGCGGGUUGGUAAGUCCGUGGUGAAAUCCCCAAGCUUAACUUGGGAACUGCCGUGGAUACUAUCAAUCUUGAAUAUCGUGGCGGUAAGCGGAAUAUGUCAUGUAGCGGUGAAAUGCUUAGAUAUGACAUAGAACACCAAUUGCGUAGGCAGCUUACUACACGAUCAUUGACGCUGAGGCACGAAAGCGUGGGGAGCGAACAGG